GAUGAACGCUAGCGGCAGGCUUAAUACAUGCAAGUCUAGGGGGCAGCAAUGUCACCGGCGUACGGGUGCGUAACACGUAUGCAACCUACCCGUCAUUGGGGGAUAGCUCGGGGAAACUCGAAUUAAUACCGCAUAAGAUAGUAGAGAGGCAUCUUACAGCUAUUAAAGAUUUAUUGAUGACGGAUGGGCAUGCGUUAGAUUAGGUAGUUGGUAGGGUAACGGCUUACCAAGCCUACGAUCUAUAGGGGCUCUGAGAGGAGAAUCCCCCACACUGGCACUGAGAUACGGGCCAGACUCCUACGGGAGGCAGCAGUAGGGAAUAUUGGGCAAUGGACGAAAGUCUGACCCAGCCAUGCCGCGUGCAGGACGAAGGCCCUCUGGGUUGUAAACUGCUUUUUUGAGGGAAGAAAAGACUCGUUGCGACGAGAGUUGACGGUACCUUAAGAAUAAGCCACGGCUAACUACGUGCCAGCCGCCGCAGUAA
rnacentral:rRNA from 1 species